rnacentral:rRNA from 1 species
UGGGGAAUUUUGGACAAUGGGCGCAAGCCUGAUCCAGCCAUGCCGCGUGCGGGAAGAAGGCCUUCGGGUUGUAAACCGCUUUUGUCAGGGAAGAAAUCUUCUGAGUUCAUACCUCGGGAGAUGACGGUACCUGAAGAAUAAGCACCGGCUAACUACGUGCCAGCAGCCGCGGUAAUACGUAGGUUGCAAGCGUUAAUCGGAAUUACUGGGCGUAAAGCGUGCGCAGGCGGUUUUGUAAGACAGAGGUGAAAUCCCCGGGCUCAACCUGGGAACUGCCUUUGUGACUGCAAGGCUUGAGUGCGGCAGAGGGGGGAUGGAAUUCCGCGUGUAGCAGUGAAAUGCGUAGAUAUGCGGAGGAACACCGAUGGCGAAGGCAAUCCCCCUGGGCCUGCACUGACGCUCAUGCACGAAAGCGUGGGGAGCAAACAGGAUUAGAUCCCUGGUAGUCCACGCCCUAAACGAUGUCAACUGGUUGUUGGGAAGGUUCCUUCUCAGUAACGUAGCUAACGCGUGAAGUUGACCGCCUGGGGAGUACGGCCGCAAGGUUGAAACUCAAA